CAGGCUGCAGGCAGGCUGUCUUUGGUUUUAGUGCACUUAACGUGUUAAAUUCAAUGCAAGCUUUGUUUGACGUGCAUAUCAGGCUGAAUUUGAACUGGUACAUGUGUGUGUGAAUAUAUCCUGAGGCACGCUCAAGGGUUAGUAAACAUCCUCAGUGCUCUGAAAGAAGGGAUGACUAACCUGCUCUCCAGCUGACUUGGACUGAGAUCAAAGUGGGAAGUCAAACGACGCUCGAGGAGUUCAGAUGUCGGUGGUUUCUUAAAGAGGAAGCGGUGGCUUCACAAGGACGACGCUGCAAUUCCAGCGUCUGGAGCCUGCGCACAGACAUGUGAGGACAGAGAGACACUACAUCACUGUGAUGCCUGCUCUAAAAGAGCAACCACUGUGGACAACCUAUAGCCACCCACCCAUACAGAUCAUGCAGAGAAAGUGCAACUACCAAAACCAUUGACUGUUCUUCAUCCAUCCAUCCAUCCAUCCAUUAUCCGUAACUGAUAAUCCCAUUUGGGGUCGCGGGGGUGCUGGUGCCGAUCCCAGUUGACAUUGGGCGAAAGGCGGGGUACACCCUGGACAGGUCGCCAGACUAUCACAGGGCUGACACAUAGAGACAGACAACCAUUCACGUUCACAAUCACACCUACAGGCAAUUUAGAGUCAACAACUAACCUAACCUGGAUGUCUUUGGGGUGUGAGCGGAAACCAGAGAACCCGGGGAAAACCCACGCUAACACGGGGAGAACAUGCAAACUCCACACAGAAGGGCCCCAAGCUGGAUUCGAACCCUGCGACCCUCUAGCUGUGAGACUGUUCUUCAGCUAGGCCUAAUGUUAUCAGGGUAAUUGCAAGUUUCAUCAGCUUGGAUUUCAGAUUUUUUAGCUCUUUAAAACACUACUUAGAGUCAAUUAGAAUAAAUAAAAUAUGACCAAUUCCAUCACUGACAUAACAGAAAAUUUAGGCAAAAUCUAAGGUAAGUCAACAGUGGGUUUCUCACCAAUACAACACUGCAAUAUCUUUAAGAAAUGAAAUAAUUAAACUGUAUUCAUAAGCAUUCAGCGCCUUGAAAUUAGAAGUCAUAAUUUCACACAUUUUAAGAAUUUUUCAGCUUUUGCAAACAUCCCGUUUAAAGUAAACUUACAUGUAUAAAUUGUAUAAAUUGCAAUGCAGUGGUGGAGGAACAAAUAAGAUGCUGUAAAAGUAACAAUACAAUAGUGUAAAAAUACUGAGAAGUAACAAUUUAAAGCAUUUAAAAUGUUAUAUAUUCAAGUAUUAAACUUAAAAGUACUUAUUAUACUGAAUAGCUCUGGUUAUAUUACUAGAUGAUUAUGUAAGCAGCAUUUUACAGCUGUAGCAGGAUGAGGUUGGACAAAUGUUAGCAAUAUUAAAUGUAGAAGAGUAGAAAUUGCAAUAAUACCCCUUUGAAAUGUAGUAGUUACAAUUUAAAGAUGCAUAAAUUGGAAAGACUCAAGCAAAAUACAAAUACCUCAAAACACAGUAUUUGAGUAAAUGUACUUUUGCCAUAUACAGUAUGUAGUCAAUUGUGGUGUUUUCUUAAGGGCAUUUAGAGUUUGCCAUUAUUACCAGACAGCUUCAAUCCCAAUAGGCAUGGUAUAUGAUAUGUUUACAGGCACUCCCCAGAUGUAUCUGUAUACAGUUCACUUGUAAUCCUCAAAUAGUCAGAAAAAUAUCAUGCUAACAUUUUGCAGAACUCCUUUACAGUGCUAUAGAUUUUUCAAACUUCUUAUGUGCAUCUUAUGCACUAACCUGCUUGCAGCAGUAGAGGGAGCCCCUUUGACAGCCUGGUGGGACCCGCUUCCGCAUUGAAAACGUGGUUGUGCAAUGCCUUUGCAAUGCUGUCCAUUCUCAAUAUGAGCCAGAGGAGGGAGCCAGCUGGUCAAUAAUGAAUCCUUUGUAUAGUCAUGGUAUUGCAUGGCACAUGGUGAACAAAGUGAUUCACUGUCACAUUCUUCUACGCAUGUCAAACCUGGCAAUGCAUUUAAGAUUAUUAACAUUAUUCCAAACAGAAACAUGGUUUGACUCCCAUAAGGAUACUGCAGAUGAGGCAUCUAUAUCCUUGCUUCUGGGCUUGAAUGAUGCCUUUCACUGCUGUCUGUACCUGCCAAAAAAAAGAUGAUUGCAAAGAUGCUGGUGGCAGCACAUUAAACUAUUAACAUGAAUGCAAUAUUUGGACAUGACAUUUAUGAAGAUUUAUUUAACUGCUCAAUAAUAAAAACAAUACCACAGAUCA